rnacentral:rRNA from 1 species
UACGAAGGGGGCUAGCGUUGCUCGGAAUCACUGGGCGUAAAGGGUGCGUAGGCGGGUUUUUAAGUCAGGGGUGAAAUCCUGGAGCUCAACUCCAGAACUGCCUUUGAUACUGAAGAUCUCGAGUCCGGGAGAGGUGAGUGGAACUGCGAGUGUAGAGGUGAAAUUCGUAGAUAUUCGCAAGAACACCAGUGGCGAAGGCGGCUCACUGGCCCGGUACUGACGCUGAGGCACGAAAGCGUGGGGAGCGAUCCGG